UGUAUAUAUAUAUAUAUAUAUAUAUAUAUAUAUAUAUAUUAAUUUACUGUAUGUCUGUCCGUGUAAAGUCCCACUGGGUCCGGCUGUGUCCAGAACUCCUGCAGGUCUUGA